CCUACGGGGUGCAGCAGUGGGGAAUAUUGCACAAUGGGCGCAAGCCUGAUGCAGCCAUGCCGCGUGUAUGAAGAAGGCCUUCGGGUUGUAAAGUACUUUCAGCGGGGAGGAAGGUGUUGUGGUUAAUAACCACAGCAAUUGACGUUACCCGCAGAAGAAGCCCCGGCUAACUUCGUGCCAGCAGCCGCGGUAAUACGAAGGGGGCUAGCGUUGUUCGGAAUUACUGGGCGUAAAGCGCACGCAGGCGGUCUGUCAAGUCGGAUGUGAAAUCCCCGGGCUCAACCUGGGAACUGCAUUCGAAACUGGCAGGCUAGAGUCUUGUAGAGGGGGGUAGAAUUCCAGGUGUAGCGGUGAAAUGCGUAGAGAUCUGGAGGAAUACCAGUGGCGAAGGCGGCCCCCUGGACAAAGACUGACGCUCAGGUGCGAAAGCGUGGGGAGCAAACAGGAUUAGAUACCCCUGUAGUC
rnacentral:rRNA from 1 species